rnacentral:rRNA from 1 species
CCUACGGGUGGCAGCAGUGGGGAAUAUUGGGCAAUGGAGGCAACUCUUACCCAGCAAUGCCGCGUGAAUGAAGAAGGUCUUCGGAUUGUAAAGUUCUUUAAUUGGGGACGAAAAAAAUGACGGUACCCAAGGAAUAAGCCCCGGCUAACUACGUGCCAGCAGCCGCGGUAAUACGUAGGGGGCAAGCGUUGUUCGGAAUGACUGGGCGUAAAGGGUGUGUAGGCGGUGUAGCAAGUUAGAAGUGAAAUACCUAGAGCUUAACUCAGGUGCUGCUUCUAAAACUGCUAUACUUGAGUGCAGUAGAGGAAAGGGGAUUCCGGAGGGGUGGGGGGGAAUGCGAAGUAAUGAGGAGGAAAAGAAGGGG